UACGAAGGGUGCAAGCGUUAAUCGGAAUUACUGGGCGUAAAGCGUGCGUAGGUGGUUUGUUAAGUCUGCUGUGAAAGCCCUGGGCUCAACCUGGGAAUGGCGGUGGAUACUGACAAGCUAGAGUGCGGUAGAGGAGGGUGGAAUUCCCGGUGUAGCGGUGAAAUGCGUAGAGAUCGGGAGGAACAUCAGUGGCGAAGGCGGCCCUCUGGACCAAUACUGACGCUCAUGUGCGAAAGCGUGGGGAGCAAACAGG
rnacentral:rRNA from 1 species